rnacentral:rRNA from 1 species
AUUGAACGCUGGCGGCAGGCCUAACACAUGCAAGUCGAGCGAGCGGCGGACGGGUGAGUAAUGUCUGGGAAACUGCCUGAUGGAGGGGGAUAACUAGUGGAAAAGGUAGCUAAUAACGCAUACCAUAAGAUGAGCCCAGAUGGGAUUAGCUAGUAGGGGGGGUAACGGCUCACCUAGGCGACGAUCCCUAGCUGGUCUGAGAGGAUGACCAGCCAAUCUGGUACUGAGAUACGGUCCUGACUCCUACGGGAGGCAGCAGUGGGGAAUAUUGCACAAUGGGCUCAAGCCUUAUGCAGACAUUCCGCGUGUGUGAAGAAGGCCUUCGGGUUGUAAAGCACUUUCAGCGGGGAGGCGUUACCCGCCGAAUAAGCACCGGCUAACUCCGUGCCAGCAGCCGCGGUAAUUC